rnacentral:piRNA from 1 species
UUUAUAAAUUUCAAAUCACUU